UGAAGUCAGAUGCUUAACCUAUUGAGCCAUCCAGGUGCCCCUACAAAUGGUUGUGUUCUGAGGGAGAUAUAGUGGGGACCGACUUGAAUCUCUGGUACCAACAUUCUUGUCUACAUUGUUGUUGCCUCUUACACCUGCCUGGAUAGAGAUCAGGAGACUGAGGCACCUAAAGAUCAAUGGUACCAGAAUUCAAAAUCAUAGCAAAGCCUACUGCAGGGCAUGACGAUGAAUGGAAGAUGGAAAGAACAAGAGAAAGGGAGGCAGAGACACUCAAGAGUCUAAAGUAGGAAAUUGAGUAACAGAGAAGCAACAAAUGGAAAUAUAUGGAACAACAGUUUACAAGACAAUGGGCAUCAGAGAAUGACCCCUGAAGAUGGGAAACAAAUGAGAAAACAGGGGCCUCAGUCCUACAUCUGGAAGGAACUGAAUUAUACCAACCCUCUAAAAGAGCGUGGAAGAGGAUCUUGAACUUCAGAUGAAACAGAAGCCCAGAUGACACCUCAAUUUCAACCAUAUGAGACCCUAAGCACAGAACUCAGCCAUGAUAUGCCAGACUCCUGACCCAUGGAAACUGUGGGAUAAUAAAUUUGUAUUAUUUUGAGCUGUUAA